rnacentral:lncRNA from 1 species
GGGUAGGUGCGUCCAGAAGUUUUCAAAUUUUAAAGGCAUCGGUCACCGCGGGCCUGUUUGAUUUGUUAGGAGUAUGGGGCAAUGGUCCGAGUGCGAGGAGGACAGAGCAUGAAGAAAGCAGUUGUCGAAGGCUAGGUCCCAGUUUUGGUUGCAGAAAGCGCGAUCAAAAUAGACGAGUGUUGGUCUACACCUCUCAUUACUCCAUGUAAAUUUCCUGUUUUGUAAGUUGAUUUCCUUCAGUUCUCAAACGCCGCAUCAAGCUCAGGUUGAGGUUCCAAUAUUCUUAUCUCUAGCCUUGUAUAUCAAGUUAAAGUCGCCCAAAAUCAGCCAUUUUAUAUCGUCCGAUGGCUUUAGGCU